GACGAACGCUGGCGGCGUGCUUAACACAUGCAAGUCGAACGGAAAGGCCCUGCUUUUGUGGGGUGCUCGAGUGGCGAACGGGGGAGUAACACGUGAGUAACCUGCCCUUGACUUUGGGAUAACUUCAGGAAACUGGGGCUAAUACCGGAUAGGAGCUCCUGCUGCAUGGUGGGGGUUGGAAAGUUUCGGCGGUUGGGGAUGGACUCGCGGCUUAUCAGCUUGUUGGUGGGGUAGUGGCUUACCAAGGCUUUGACGGGUAGCCGGCCUGAGAGGGUGACCGGCCACAUUGGGACUGCGGUACGGCCCAGACUCCUACGGGAGGCAGCAGGGGGGAGUAUUGCACAAUGGGGGGAAGCCUGAUGCAGCGACGCCGCGUGCGGGAUGACGGCCUUCGGGUUGUAAACCGCUUUGGCCUGUGACGAAGCGUGAGUGACGGUAAUGGGUAAAGAAGCACCGGCUAACUACGUG
rnacentral:rRNA from 1 species